AGAGUUUGAUCCUGGCUCAGGAUGAACGCUAGCGGCAGGCCUAAUACAUGCAAGUCGAACGAUACCAGAGGGCUUGCUCUCUGGGAAAGUGGCGCACGGGUGCGUAACGCGUAUGCAAUCUACCUUAAUCAGGGGGAUAGCCCGGAGAAAUCCGGAUUAAUACCGCAUAACACUAUUGAAUGGCAUCAUUUAAUAAUCAAACAUUUAUGGGAUUAAGAUGAGCAUGCGUGACAUUAGUUAGUUGGUGAGGUAACGGCUCACCAAGACUACGAUGUCUAGGGGAUCUGAGAGGAUGACCCCCCACACUGGUACUGAGACACGGACCAGACUCCUACGGGAGGCAGCAGUAAGGAAUAUUGGUCAAUGGAGGCAACUCUGAACCAGCCAUGCCGCGUGCAGGAAGACGGCCCUACGGGUUGUAACUGCUUUUAUUCGGGAAUAAACCUUUCUACGUGUAGAGAGCUGAAUGUACCGAAGGAAUAAGGAUCGGCUAACUCCGUGCCAGCAGCCGCGGUAAUACGGAGGAUCCAAGCGUUAUCCGGAUUUAUUGGGUUUAAAGGGUGCGUAGGCGGCUUAUUAAGUCAGGGGUGAAAGACGGUGGCUCAACCAUCGCAGUGCCUUUGAUACUGAUGAGCUUGAAUACACUUGAGGUAGGCGGAAUGUGACAAGUAGCGGUGAAAUGCAUAGAUAUGUCACAGAACACCAAUUGCGAAGGCAGCUUACUAAAGUGUUAUUGACGCUGAGGCACGAAAGCGUGGGGAUCAAACAGGAUUAGAUACCCUAGUAGUCC
rnacentral:rRNA from 1 species